rnacentral:lncRNA from 1 species
CAACCCUGGUGUUUCACAUCUGAGAAAAUUGAGGCCCCUCUUACUUAGCUGUUACUGUGGGUUAACAAUCUAAAUAUCUCUGUGAUCAACACAGAUUCCCCAUGUGCUCCCUGCACUGUCAGUCCCUAACAGGCAGGCAUAAAGCCUCUGCUGGAGCCACUGCAGGGAUGGGAGCUCAAGACUACUCAUGCCUACCCUCACCUGAGUAGCCCACUGUGGUUUGGGACAGCCUUGUUGUUAGAAAAAUCUUUGUUUUAUUGAGACCAAAACUUUCUCUAUAAACAUCACCUUUGGCUUAAAAUUUGGCUUAAUCACAUCUAAUCUUUUUUUUUUUUUUUUUUUUUUAAAGACAGGGUCUUGCUUCAUUGCCCAAGCAAGCAAGAGUGCAGUGGUGCAAUCAUA